UCUCUUAGCUAUGCUUCACCACUUGUUCCAGUUCCAGGUCAGUAUCUGAGCCUAGUUUCCUUCUAGAAGUCACAUGGCCUAAAUGACAGAUACUACUAUCCCAGAAGAGCCUGCUUCCUCCACAGCUGUUCCCUAGUUGCCAAGAGAUGUCAAGCUACCCAGGCAGGGAACCAGAUUAAAAUGUAAUAGGGUCAGUCAUUCUCUGCUGCUGUUCGUCAUAAAAUUCCUGCAGAGCUGCUAGGGUAUGGGA